GAUGAACGCUGGCGGCGUGCCUAAUACAUGCAAGUCGAGCGAACGGACGAGAAGCUUGCUUCUCUGAUGUUAGCGGCGGACGGGUGAGUAACACGUGGAUAACCUACCUAUAAGACUGGGAUAACUUCGGAAAACCGGAGCUAAUACCGGAUAAUAUUUUGAACCGCAUGGUUCAGAAGUGAAAGACGGUCUUGCUGUCACUUAUAGAUGGAUCCGCGCUGCAUUAGCUAGUUGGUAAGGUAACGGCUUACCAAGGCAACGAUGCAUAGCCGACCUGAGAGGGUGAUCGGCCACACUGGAACUGAGACACGGUCCAGACUCCUACGGGAGGCAGCAGUAGGGAAUCUUCCGCAAUGGGCGAAAGCCUGACGGAGCAACGCCGCGUGAGUGAUGAAGGUCUUCGGAUCGUAAAACUCUGUUAUUAGGGAAGAACAUAUGUGUAAGUAACUGUGCACAUCUUGACGGUACCUAAUCAGAAAGCCACGGCUAACUACGUG
rnacentral:rRNA from 1 species